rnacentral:rRNA from 1 species
GUGCCAGCAGCCGCGGUAAUACGGGGGGGGCAAGCGUUGUUCGGAAUUACUGGGCGUAAAGGGCGUGUAGGCGGCCAACUAAGUCCGACGUGAAAUCCCCAGGCUUAACCUGGGAACUGCGUCGGAUACUGGAUGGCUUGAAUUCGGGAGAGGGAUGCAGAAUUCCAGGUGUAGCGGUGAAAUGCGUAGAUAUCUGGAGGAAUACCGGUGGCGAAGGCGGCAUCCUGGACCGACAUUGACGCUGAAGCGCGAAAGCUAGGGGAGCAAACGGGAUUAGAUACCCCGGUAGUCC